CGUCUGCACCGAGCCUUUGCCGAAAGUCUGUCGACCCAUUAUUACAGCACGUUUAUGGUCCUGUAAUGCACCAGCUACAAUUUCUGAGGCGGAGGCCGAGCCUUCAUUUACCAAGACAAUGAUUGGCGCGCCAUCCAGCACGUCUUCGGGUUCGGCUUUAAAUUCCAUCUUGGAACCGUCUGACAUACCUUUGGUGAAUACAAUCAGUCCGUCUGUAAUAAAGGCAUCACUAACCGAAACCGCUGCAUUCAGCACGCCGCCGGGAUUAUUGCGCA
rnacentral:ncRNA from 1 species